rnacentral:lncRNA from 1 species
UUGAGGAAAGGAGAGGCUAAAAAUUCUGCCUUCUCUCCUAAAGCCAGCCGGGCUCUUUAUGGUGGGGGAAGGAAGGAUUUGUUUAUUUGCACUCUUCUGAAAUAAAAGUUCUCUAUCCUCCCUCCUGGCUGGAGUUGGGAGGGCCCCAUGGGUGGGCUCUGAGAUGUGGCACACGGUACCCAGGGCAGGGCUGGGAAGGGUGGGGUGCAGGGGCCUCCCUGGCUGCAGGGCCCACCCACCAGGUGCCUGGGCUUGCUGCACUGAGCAGGCAUGGGCUCUGGCCCCCCUCACUGUCCCUUCCAGGCCCAGCCUGUGUUCAGGGCCCAGGACAGGGUCUGGCCAGCAGGCCCCAGGCCUCCAAGAUGUUCUCAGCCUCUGGAGUGUGUGUGAUGAUGAGCACUCAUGGAGCUUCCUGUAUGCUGGGCCCUGGGCUUCUGAGAGGGCCACCGGGUGGCGACUGAGUCACGAGGUGGAGGGCCAGUCCCAGGGACUCCAGGUGACCUCGUGUCGGCACCACGCCCUUCUCCCAUGGGCAGUCCUGGGCGCCCCUUCCUGGCCUUGGGCCCAGUGGCCUGUGGCCUGACCCCGUCCACUCCUGCUUGGUUGU